AGGACGAAGUAAAGGAACACCUCUAGGACGGAGGAUAAGGAAGCACUUCAGGAUGAAGUAAAGGAACACCUCUAGGAUGGAGGCAUAAGGGAAUACUUCAGGAAGAAGUAAUGGAUACCUCCAGGAAGGAGAGAGAGUCGAAACAGGAUGAUUCGACGGGCCAAGGAACUGCCGAAGGACAACUCUAGGAUAGAGAUUAGGAAUUACGCUUAGGAACAAAAAAGCAGAUCAAGGAUUGAUGCAGGGAGCACCAUAGUAGCGGGACGGCUGCAAGUAAGACCUAAGGGCGCAACGGAUGUUGCGCCCGUUCUUUUUUAG
rnacentral:other from 1 species